CACUCCUGCGGGAGGCAGCAGUGGGGAAUAUUGGACAAUGGGCGCAAGCCUGAUCCAGCCAUGCCGCGUGAGUGAUGAAGGCCCUAGGGUUGUAAAGCUCUUUCACCGGUGAAGAUAAUGACGGUAACCGGAGAAGAAGCCCCGGCUAACUUCGUGCCAGCAGCCGCGGUAAUACGAAGGGGGCUAGCGUUGUUCGGAUUUACUGGGCGUAAAGCGCACGUAGGCGGACUAGUAAGUCAGGGGUGAAAUCCCGGGGCUCAACCCCGGAACUGCCUUUGAUACUGGUAGUCUUGAGUUCGAGAGAGGUGAGUGGAAUUCCGAGUGUAGAGGUGAAAUUCGUAGAUAUUCGGAGGAACACCAGUGGCGAAGGCGGCUCACUGGCUCGAUACUGACGCUGAGGUGCGAAAGCGUGGGGAGCAAACAGGAGUAGAUACCCCAGUAGUCCCAUGA
rnacentral:rRNA from 1 species